rnacentral:rRNA from 1 species
GAUGAACGCUGGCGGCGUGCCUAAUACAUGCAAGUCGAGCGAAUGGAUUAAGAGCUUGCUCUUAUGAAGUUAGCGGCGGACGGGUGAGUAACACGUGGGUAACCUGCCCAUAAGACUGGGAUAACUCCGGGAAACCGGGGCUAAUACCGGAUAACAUUUUGAACCGCAUGGUUCGAAAUUGAAAGGCGGCUUCGGCUGUCACUUAUGGAUGGACCCGCGUCGCAUUAGCUAGUUGGUGAGGUAACGGCUCACUAAGGCAACGAUGGGUAGCCGACCUGAGAGGGUGAUCGGCCACACGGGGACUGAGACACGGCCCAGACUCCUACGGGAGGCAGCAGUAGGGAAUCUUCCGCAAUGGACGAAAGUCUGACGGAGCAACGCCGCGUGAGUGAUGAAGGCUUUCGGGUCGUAAAACUCUGUUGUUAGGGAAGAACAAGUGCUAGUUGAAUAAGCUGGCACCUUGACGGUACCUAACCAGAAAGCCACGGCUAACUACGUGCCAGCCGCCGCAUAA